rnacentral:rRNA from 1 species
UACGAAGGACCCGAGCGUUAUCCGGAUUUAUUGGGUUUAAAGGGUGCGUAGGCGGACUUUCAAGUCAGUGGUGAAAGCCCAUCGCUCAACGAUGGAAUUGCCAUUGAUACUGUUGGUCUUGAGUACGGUUGAAGUGGGCGGAAUGUGUCAUGUAGCGGUGAAAUGCUUAGAUAUGACAUAGAACACCGAUAGCGAAGGCAGCUUGCUACACAAUCAUUGACACUGAGGCACGAAAGCGUGGGGAUCAAACAGG